CCCACUCGGCUUCGGCGCCGCUGCAAGCAAAACCCCACCACCCGCGCCCGCUGCUGCAGCGGCGACGUCGCCGCCAAGGAACCCGGAACAGCCCAGGCAUCCAACCAAUAGCCCGCGGAAGCGAUUUCGCCUCGCGCAUGGACCGCAUCGUCGGCGGCAAGUUCAGGCUCGGGCGGAAGAUCGGCUGCGGCUCCUUCGGCGAGAUCUACCUCGCCACGCACAUCGACACCUACGAGAUCGUCGCCGUCAAGAUUGAGAGCAGCAAGACGAAGCACCCCCAGUUGUUUUACGAGGCAAAGCUCUACAACACUCUCCAAGGAGGAAGUGGCAUUGCAAACGUCAAGUGGUGCGGCGUGGACGGGGAAGAAAAUGUUCUCGUCAUUGACCUGCUGGGACCAAGUUUGGAGGACCUCCUCGUCUAUUGCGGCAGGAAAUUCACACUCAAGACUGUCCUAUUGCUGGCUGAUCAGAUGAUUACAAGAAUCGAGUUUAUGCAUUCCAAAGGGUACUUACACAGAGAUAUAAAACCUGACAACUUUCUGAUGGGUCUUGGUCGGAAAGCAAAUCAGGUAUACAUAAUUGAUUUUGGGCUUGCCAAAAGAUACCGGGAUUCUACGACGAAUCGUCAUAUUCCUUACAGAGAAAAUAAGAACUUGACUGGCACAGCACGCUAUGCAAGUUGCAACACCCACCUUGGAAUUGAACAAAGCCGCAGGGAUGAUUUGGAAUCUCUUGGCUAUGUCCUUUUGUAUUUUCUCCGAGGAAGCCUUCCUUGGCAGGGACUAAAAGCUGCAACAAAGACACAGAAGUAUGACAAAAUAUGUGAGAAAAAGAUAUCAACUCCUAUCGAGGUCUUGUGCAAAUCCUGUCCCGUCGAAUUCGCAUCUUACUUCCAUUACUGCCAUUCAUUGACAUUUGAUCAGCGACCUGACUAUGCAUUUGUGAAGCGACUUUUUCGUGACUUGUUUACCCGCCAAGGAUACGAAUUUGAUUAUGUCUUUGACUGGACAGUUUUGAAAUACAAACAAGGCCAAAAACAAAAGCGAAGUCCUGGGGCGCCAGCUCGACCAAUUCAAGAAGAUGUACAGAAACAAGCAGGUGUAAAUGGUAUUUUUCAUAGUGAAGCCCGGGAGCAUGUAGAGACAAGCCAUCCAACAUGGCAAGCUGCAGAAUCUCGAGGCAAACAGGCAACCGAUAAAGAUUGGAAUUCCAGCAUGCAGCAUACUGUGAAACUUAGACAAGAUGUGGAUGAUGGAAAAGUGCAGAUGACGUCUGUCCCACUUCCUAGUUCCCUGUGGAAAGAUGAUGGUGAUUCAAGACAAAAAGGACAAUUUGAUGCUGUUCACCAUACUCAGGGUUUUGUAAACAUAACUGGCUCAUCUAACAGCUGGCCUCCUACAUUCCAGCGCAAUGCACCGGCAAAGUGACAGUUAAAUCUAUCAUAUCUGGUGGAGCAAAGAGGAAAUGCAAAGAGUUAGAGGAUGCCCCUGUUCCUUCGAGGUGGUUCAGAGUCAAGUAUCGAACAGUCAAUGUAGACUUGAUGUUUAAUGUGUGUUAGUGAGGUGGCUACUGAUGCAUUUGAUGAUGAUGAUGCCUGCUAAUUAUGGAAGCAUUAGGUACUGCAGAGGCUCAACUGAACAGGGGAUAGUAUGCCAUUCUUAAGUUGAAUCUAUCUACAUUGGGACUUACGCAUCUUUAGCAGAUUGAUGCUAUCACGCCGUGGAAAUCAGCUGUAUAUCUUCUGAUGUCAUCAGUUCGAUGUGGAAUCGUUCAAGUAGACAUAUUUUUUAAAAUAAAAGGUUUCCAUGUCACCGUUGUACUGGCAAUGUCGAGCCAUGGGAGUUGUCAUGACAGUGUUACGUGCCUGGUUGUAGUUUUGUAUCAUCCAUCCCGACAACCAUAGGUAUGGAGUAAAGUUCCUUCUAGUGCUAUGUAACAUAUUCGAUGUCCAGUAGUUUUAUUGUUACGAUGUGUGUUCCGAAUAAUUUUUGGUGUAUAUUUGUGAUUGGUAGUGAUUGCAAAGUUGAAAACGAGCUGAUGCAUUGUAAGGAAAAUAAAUUUAAGAACACGCAUCUGGGGACUUCUGUUCCAAUGUAAUUUAUCAAGUGCUUCUCUUGAAUGCCUUGCGGCCA